CACGGCUUGAUGGGGGCUUUCCUUGCUGAAGUGGCUGAAAGCAUCAGCCCUGGGGUCGGAGAGUUUGUCCCAGGGGUCUGAGAUGUGGAGGGAAGUUGCUCGAGUCUAUUAAUAGAAAGCCAGGUGCACUCAGUAGGAUUUUUAGGGACAGCAGUUUUAGGACACGAAAGGAAGUGGGAUCCUAUUGACGGCAGCCCCUCUGUAUGGCCCUAAUGUUGAAUCUUUUCUUCCUUGCUGAGAUGGCUGUGGUCCUCAGGAUGCUGACACACAACUGUUCCAAGAGGAACACUGUGCAUGCUGACACACCGGACCAUCCUCUCUUUGCCGAAUGCCAGGCUCCUUGGGAGUGGGAGCCACAAAUGAUGGAUCUUGCUGAUCAUGUCGCUUGACUCUCAAGCAGGCUGGUACCUGCCUGAACUCCCAAUGGCAACCUCCCAGGGAUAAAAAGAUGUCUACAGCAGCAAGAUCGAGGAUGCGAAAGGUGGCCAAGCCUACGGUGGAGGUCUCUGACCAUUUCCAAGCCAGUAUCGACUGAGAGGAUGGCAGAGUGUACAGUUGGACCUGUGUUUGAUCACAGCUAGGCCACUUGCUUCCAUGUGGCCCCUGGUUGAGUCACAACAUGUACCCAUGGUUUGGUUUGUUCAUCGUUUUGUUUUGUUUUGUUUUAAGGUUCCACGUACCUCUCAGGACUGUUCUGAAGAUUUAAAAAAAAUGAUACAGUUUCUA
rnacentral:lncRNA from 1 species